rnacentral:rRNA from 1 species
UACGAAGGGGGCAAGCGUUGUUCGGAAUUACUGGGCGUAAAGGGCGCGUAGGCGGCUUAUCAAGUCAGGCGUGAAAUUCCCGGGCUCAACCUGGGGGCUGCGCUUGAUACUGAUUGGCUUGAAUGCGGGAGAGGAUAGUGGAAUUCCCAGUGUAGAGGUGAAAUUCGUAGAUAUUGGGAAGAACACCGAUGGCGAAGGCAGGUCACUGGGCCGCAACUGACGCUGAGGAGCGAAAGCAUGGGGAGCGAACAGG